rnacentral:rRNA from 2 species
GUAGGGAAUCUUCCGCAAUGGACGAAAGUCUGACGGAGCAACGCCGCGUGAGUGAUGAAGGCUUUCGGGUCGUAAAACUCUGUUGUUAGGGAAGAACAAGUACAAGAGUAACUGCUUGUACCUUGACGGUACCUAACCAGAAAGCCACGGCUAACUACGUGCCAGCAGCCGCGGUAAUACGUAGGUGGCGAGCGUUAUCCGGAAUUAUUGGGCGUAAAGCGCGCGCAGGCGGUUUCUUAAGUCUGAUGUGAAAGCCCACGGCUCAACCGUGGAGGGUCAUUGGAAACUGGGGAACUUGAGUGCAGAAGAGAAAAGCGGAAUUCCACGUGUAGCGGUGAAAUGCGUAGAGAUGUGGAGGAACACCAGUGGCGAAGGCGGCUUUUUGGUCUGUAACUGACGCUGAGGCGCGAAAGCGUGGGGAGCAAACAGGAUUAGAUACCCUGGUAGUCCACGCCGUAAACGAUGAGUGC